GAUAAUCCGGCACUGCUACGCAGUAAAAUCAAUUGCGCAAUAUGAUAUAGGUUGCCAUAUUGACAAAUGGGUUGAAUAUGGUAUAGUGUAUUUAUUGUGUAAGACAUGAUUGCGUUUCAUACAGAAAUGACAUAACGGAAGGGGGCGGGAGAUGGGUCAGAGAGUACGGGAGAAACCCGGGAAAAACGGGAGAGUUGGCAGGUAUGGUCUGCGUAUUAGAGCGUAUGGGAAAGUUAACGAAAAGUAACAGCCCCAUACACACAUAAUGAAAGGACUAAAGGAGACAUCAAUUAUUUUUCCCUGGACAGCCGUGAGUGUGACGACAAAGGAGAGGUCACUCCAGAGACUGUUCAGAAACCGAAACACCUCAACCAAAAACCUUUCACUUCCAGUCUCCAAACCUGUCACCUUUUUCCAUUCUGGCUGAGAGCGUUUAUAAGAAAAAUGGUAGACUGCUGAGAUAGUGGCCCUUUUGUGAGGUUGACCACAAAACUACAAUGAAUCACAUGAGGAGUAUUUCAUGAGGAGAUGAUUGUUGAUGAUUUUCAUGUGUCACAUCAUGUGACGAGUGGGAAAUCCUCCACCAUAAAAACACUGCUAAUUAUAAUACUACAGUGUCGAUUUGUUGCUGCUACAGACCCCAACUGUCCGUAUAUCCCAAUCAUUAAGGAGUGGGGUGUACCAGCCUGUUACACAGAACUACAUAAGGCAUAUCCUGGAUGGCUAGUGGGGAAGACACAGGCUAAUAGCAUCCCCAGAGAUUUUCGAUUAGAGAUUCCACUCGGCUGUGGUGAUAAGAUCAGCUGUGACGAUCUCCUACGGGCCCUUGUUAACAGCUACUGCAUGAACAGGAAUUGCAGUGAUGAUAAGCCCAAUACGUCUUGCAAUGAAACUAAUAAAAAAACAAAGACGUUGAUUUACUGCUUGAAUGAUAAUUAUUCUAUCUCCUGCCAGGAGCCCCUAGGGUUUCAAAACCCAAGGAUAUAUAUGUUAGUGAAUGAUACAGAUUUCACCCAUAACAUUCAAGGUUGUCUCAUGGACAAGGUGCCAGGUACAACAGCAUCCACCACCUGUACUAUGACCACCACCACCACGACAUCUCGUAGUGCACCAACAACAGUUACCCCCGGCAGUACACCCACCUCCUCCACCCCCACCACAUCUUCUAUCAUCACAGAUAGUACACAGUCCCCAACGCCUUCCCAUGCCUCUCACACCUCAGAACAAUUUAGUGCGACAUCUGGAUAUGGUAUGCUGGUCAUACUGUUGACAUCUCUGGGUUUAAACAUAACAUUGUCAUGGUUGUUACUGAAGCAGAGAAGCCGCCACCAACAGCAACCCAUAAACCUAAGUCUAGACUAUGUUGGAGCUCCUGGAGAAGCUGAAGCAGAGUCGUUAGCGGGUGAUUCCCUGCCCUAGAACUGGCUGCCUACUCCAGUGUUCUAGAGACAUCAGUAACAGUGUUCCAGAGACGGCAGAUGGAUUACAGAGGACGGGCCUGCUGUACUCCCAACACUGUCUCCAUGAGAGACUGCCAAUCCACCAGUCUGUGACUACAGAGACUGUUACUGUCAAACACCUGCAUCAGGACACCCUCAGACCGGUCUUUGGCUAUGGACUAGAGACCUCAACAGGAGAACCAACCUCAGUCACAACAUGAGCCCCACACCAUUCCACAGACAUUGACAGACCUGCAUGUGAAGCAUGUUCAGAUACUAUGGCACAUUAGGGCCCGUUUCACACUGCCUGCGUUGAGUGUGUGUGGUGGCUGCGUUACCUGUUGAUUUUCAUGUCAGUGCCCUUGCUAACAGGUUAGAACAUGCACAAUGCUUGACUGAGAUGUGCAGUCAUAUCGAGUCGAGUUUCAGUGUGGCGACUAUUUGUUACACGUGAGAUAAGAUAAUCUCAGUAAAAAAGACAUGUUGACAUUAUACCACCAACCAACAUUAUAACUGGCGUCUUUCAUUGCAGUUUCGAGGUAUGGGCUAUAUCGCACAGACAUGACAGAAAUAUAAAUGUCCCUCUCUCACUUAUCAUGCUUAUAAUAUAAUAUAAUAUAAGAGUAUAAUAUUCUCUAAUUAAUCAUGUCUGAAUUGUGUCUUGUUUCUUUCUGACUAACUAUUGAGUUUGACAUAGUUCAUGUUUACAAAUGAUAUGUUGCGGAGAAACUAGCAACGAUCCACAAACAGGCGUCGAGAGGCUGAAUGUGAAGUUUAUUUGUGUUAUCUAAACUUUUACGCAAUCAGAACUUGUUGUGUGUUUGGUAGCACUCCCAACUCCUGGGGGGUAUUCGUCGUAGCUCGCUAAGCGGUUUAGCGAGCUAAUUUUCAGGCUAAGAUAAAAAAAACGCCCCUCUUUUUGGUUCGUGGAAGCAACUUUUGAUAAAUCACCAUAGUUACAUAUCGAUUAGCACUAACCU
ensembl:lncRNA